rnacentral:rRNA from 1 species
CGGGGUGAGUAAUGUCUGGAAAACUGCCUGAUGGAGGGGGAUAACUACUGGAAACGGUAGCUAAUACCGCAUAAUGUCGCAAGACCAAAGUGGGGGACCUUCGGGCCUCUUGCCAUCGGAUGUGCCCAGAUGGGAUUAGCUAGUAGGUGGGGUAACGGCUCACCUAGGCGACGAUCCCUAGCUGGUCUGAGAGGAUGACCAGCCACACUGGAACUGAGACACGGUCCAG